rnacentral:ncRNA from 10 species
UGAACACAGCUGGUGGUAUCCAGU